GGGACCCGAAAGAUGGUGAA
rnacentral:snRNA from 1 species